rnacentral:sRNA from 1 species
AUUUGCUGUGGGCAAAUGAAAUGGAUGUGACUAUCAAUGCCACCGGCGGUCACAAUCAUGCCUUCAGCAGCGAUGAUUUCGGUCGAAGCGCCAAUAAUGAUGGUCACUGCAGGUUGCACAUCCGGGUUGCCCGCUUUGCCAAUGCCACUGAUGCGCCCGUCUUUGAUGCCAAUGUCGGCUUUGACGAUGCCCCACCAGUCAAUAAUCAGGGCAUUGGUCAAGACCGUAUCGGCGCACGCCUCACUGGUGCGCUGUGACUGACCCAUGCCAUCAC